AUUGAACGCUGGCGGCAUGCUUUACACAUGCAAGUCGAACGGCAGCGGGGGCUUCGGCCUGCCGGCGAGUGGCGAACGGGUGAGUAAUGCAUCGGAACGUGCCCAUGUCGUGGGGGAUAACGUAGCGAAAGCUACGCUAAUACCGCAUACGUCCUGAGGGAGAAAGCGGGGGAUCUUAGGACCUCGCGCGAUUGGAGCGGCCGAUGUCGGAUUAGCUAGUAGGUGGGGUAAAGGCCCACCUAGGCGACGAUCCGUAGCGGGUCUGAGAGGAUGAUCCGCCACACUGGGACUGAGACACGGCCCAGACUCCUACGGGAGGCAGCAGUGGGGAAUUUUGGACAAUGGGCGCAAGCCUGAUCCAGCAAUGCCGCGUGAGUGAAGAAGGCCU
rnacentral:rRNA from 1 species